rnacentral:rRNA from 1 species
AUUGAACGCUGGCGGCAGGCCUAACACAUGCAAGUCGAGCGAGCGGCGGACGGGUGAGUACUGUCUGGGAAACUGCCUGAGGGAGGGGGAUAACUACUGGAAACGGUCGCUAAUACCGCAUACCAUCAAAUGUGCCCAGAUGGGAUUACCUAGUAGGUGGGGUAAUGGAUCACCUAGGCGACGAUCCCUAGUUGGGCUGAGAGGAUGCCCAGCCACACUGGACAGGAGACAAGGUCCAGACUCCUACGGGAGGCAGCAGUGGGGAAUAUUGCACAAUGGGCGCAAGCCUGAUGAAGCCAUGCCGCGUGUAGGAAGAAGGCCUUCGGGUUGUAAAGCACUUUCAGCGAGGAGGCGUUACUCGCAGAAGAAGGACCGGCUAACUCCGUGCCAGCAGCCGCGGUAAUUC